rnacentral:rRNA from 1 species
AUUGAACGCUGGCGGCAGGCCUAACACAUGCAAGUCGAACGAGUGGCGGACGGGUGAGUAAUGUCUGGGAAACUGCCCGAUGGAGGGGGAUAACUACUGGAAACGGUAGCUAAUACCGCAUACCAUCGGAUGUGCCCAGGUGGGAUUAGCUAGUGGGUGGGGUAACGGCUCACCAAGGCGACGAUCCCUAGCUGGUCUGAGAGGAUGACCAGCCACACUGGAACUGAGACACGGUCCAGACUCCUACGGGAGGCAGCAGUGGGGAAUAUUGCACAAUGGGCGAAAGCCUGAUGCAGCCAGGCCGCGUGUAUGAAGAAGGUCUUCGGUUUGUAAAGCACUUUCAGUUAGGAGGCGUUACUAGCAGAAUAAGCACCGGCUAACUCCGUGCCAGCAGCCGCAGUAAUAC